rnacentral:lncRNA from 1 species
UUCAUCACAAUCUCUUCUUUUUUACAACCUUUCCACUAUUAUUCCAAUAGUUCUCUUUCUUCCCUUGUUAAGAUAAAAUGUCUGCUUUAGGACAAGGGCUUAGAAAGAGAAUUAGGCAAGAUAAGGAGAAAAGAAAGUAAGAAAGGGAGAAGGCUAGGAGGUGGAAAAGAAAGGCCAAGUUUUAGGGUAGUGUUGUGCUAUCCAAAAAGGAAUUCUUUAAGAA